CCCUCUGACCAAUAACCCCUAAAGGCCUAACAGGCUCCUUCCAUCACUGGCCGGUUCUCCCACCUUCGUCCCCAUCCUCGUCCUGCAUCCACACCCUCUCCUCCGGUAGCGCCUCCUGCAGAGGCGUCAAAACUUAGCUCCAUUGCUAAAUCUGGAGGUAAGGACGAGGACAAUGGCAGUAAGGAUGCGAGAGGACUUGAGUUCGGUAAACAAGAGGAGUCGCUGGUGCGGGGAAGAGAUCUGAGGCUACGCAGCAGGUCUCCGCAUACUAGAACAAGAUCUCUGUCGCCCCCUGAGAAACCCUCCGCUUGAUUGACACGAGGAUGAAGAAGAGCGAGAGAUUAGCGAGGGUGAUCUAGACUUGGAAAAUCCCGACCUUAAAUAGUAUGAAACGCCAUCGACGGAGAUGAUGGCUUAUGUGUCUCCUUCAUUGUCUAGAUCUUCUUCGUCAGGAAGGAGCUCAAAGAGAUGGAUCUUCUUGAAGGAUUUGGCAAGGGCAGAGGUAACUGAAAGGAGAAGUUCUAGUCUUCCGUUUCCUUUUCUCCGGUCUAAGAGAGGAAACCUCCCUCUACGUCUCUGCCUUUGUCGUCCAAGAAAGGAAAAAAACCACCUUCUCCGUCGUUCGAACCGACGGAAACCCAAAGAACAAAACGAGCUCCCUAGGUUCCCACUAAGAAAAUUUCCGCGGCAGAAAAAUCGGCCAAUGGGUUUAGCAGUUAUCAGGUCGUGAAAGCACUGCAUCUUAACGUUUAGAUUCAGAUGGGACUCCAAGAGAAGAGCUGUGGUCGAUAGGGACGAAGGUGCAGAACCGGUCAGUAAAGAAGGGAGCCGGUUAGGGCCUUACGGGUUACUGGGUCAGAGGGGUAGUCUGGGGUUUUUGAAAUAGCAGGGGAGAAGAAGAAGUAGAACUUUGUUUCUAAGAGAGUAUAAAAAGAAAUGUUCAGACUAAAGGGAUCUUGAGUAAUUAUCCCUUUUUUAAUUUAAGGCCACGUUUCCUUGGCCUGGUUUGGGGUUUGGACUUUGGACACAACACAAUGACACGUCAGUGAAAACUGUUUUUUUCU